AGAGUUUGAUCAUGGCUCAGCCUGAACGCUGGCGGCGUGGCUAAGACAUGCAAGUCGCACGGGGUAGCAAUACCCAGUGGCGAACGGGAGAGUAAUGAAUCGCUAAUGUACCCCGGACUCUGGGAUAGCUGCCCGAAAGGGCAGGUAAUACCAGAUGAUAUAACUUUUAGGCAUCUAAGAGUUCUCAAAGGUCCGCCGGUCUGGGAGCAGGCGAUUUCGUAUCAGCUAGUUGGUGAGGUAACGGCCUACCAAGCCUUCGACGCCUAGCCGGACUGAGAGGUCGGUCGGCCACAUCGGGACUGAGACACUGCCCGGACUCCUACGGGGGGCUGCAGUAAUGAAUCUUCCCCAAUGCACGAAAGUGUGAGGGAGCGACGCCGCGUGUGGGACGAAGUCCUUCGGGAUGUAAACCACUGUCAGGGGAUACCAAGUUCUGAGGAUCCCCAGAGGAAGGGGCGGCUAACUCUGUGCCAGCAGCCGCGGUAAGACAGAGGCCCCAAGCGUUAGGCGGAAUCACUGGGCUUAAAGCGUGUGUAGGCGGAUCGUUAAGUGUCUUGUGAAAUCCCACGGCUCACCCGUGGAACUGCUGGGCAUACUGGCGAUCUUGGGCCAACUAGGGGCAGUCGGAACAAGCGGUGGAGCGGUGAAAUGCGUAGAUAUCGCUUGGAACGCCGAAGGUGAAAACAGACUGCUGGGGUUGCGCCGACGCUGAGACACGAAAGCCAGGGGAGCAAACGGGAUUAGAUACCCCCGUAGUCC
rnacentral:rRNA from 1 species